rnacentral:rRNA from 1 species
UACAGAGGGUGCGAACGUUGCUCGGAAUUACUGGGCGUAAAGCGCGUGUAGGCGGAUUGCUAAGUCGGGCGUGAAAGCCCCAGGCUCAACCUGGGAACUGCGCUCGAAACUGGCAGUCUCGAGUAUCGGAGAGGGCGGCGGAAUUCCUGGUGUAGAGGUGAAAUUCGUAGAUAUCAGGAGGAACACCGGUGGCGAAGGCGGCCGCCUGGACGAUUACUGACGCUGAGACGCGAAAGCGUGGGGAGCAAACAGA